UACGGAGGGUGCAAACGGUGCUCGGAAUCACUGGGCGUAAAGCGCGUGUAGGCGGUCUCGUGUGACUGGCGUGAAAGCCCCAGGCUCACCCUGGGAAGUGCGUCGGAAACUGCGAGACUAGGGUCCCGGAGAGGAAGGUGGAAUUCCAGGUGUAGCGGUGAAAUGCGUAGAUAUCUGGAAGAACACCGGUGGCGAAAGCGGCCUUCUGGACGGUGACUGACGCUGAGACGCGAAGGCGUGGGGAGCAAACAGG
rnacentral:rRNA from 1 species